rnacentral:rRNA from 1 species
GACGAACGCUGGCGGCGUGGAUUAGGCAUGCAAGUCGAACGGUAUCAUCCUUUCGGGGAUGAGAGAGUGGCGAACGGGUGAGUAACACGUAGGUGAUCUACCCUCAAGACGGGGACAACCCAGGGAAACUUGGGCUAAUACCGGAUGUGAGCUAUCGCGAGAUAGUUUGAAAGGUGGCUUCGGCUGCCGCUUGAGGAUGAGCCUGCGUCCUAUUAGCUAGUUGGUGAGGUAACGGCUCACCGAGGCAGUGAUAGGUAGGCGGCCUUAACGGGUGGUCGCCCACACUGGGAUUGAGAUACGGCCCAGACUCCUACGGGAGGCAGCAGUCGAGAAUAGUCUACAAUGGUCGAAAGACCUGAUAGUGCGACGCCGCGUGAACGAAGAAGCCCUUCAGGGUGUAAAGUUCUUUUAUAUGUGAGCAGUGACAUCUAUAUUAAUAGUAUGGGUGGAGAGAUAUUAGCAUAUGAAUAAGCAACGGCUAACUCCGUG